GAUGUCUGCAACAAUUGUCAUCUAAUAUUUUUUCUAAGAGCUAUUGUUUUAGACUACUUCAGAUCCCUGAAACUGACAGAGGAGGGGAACUGGAAUCUUGGAGCUGGAAAGUCACCUGAUGCCUGAACAUGCCUCAGGCACAGCAGUGAGGCAUGGGUGGAGAUGCCACUAAGUUAAGACUCUCUCUCUCAGCAAUUCAGACUGACUCAUCAUUCCUUAAGUCAUCAGAGAACUGGAAAAUUCGGCAGUGGAAGAGGAGCAUUUACAGCUCCUGAGAGGAAACUUCUGAGAGUGCCAAAUCCAGUCAGGCCUCCAUAUGAUUGACAAGGAUGCCAUCGCCACCAAAGAGAAGUGCAAGACCUGGCAUGAUCACUCAGCAGAGGUGCUCAGAGACACCCAGAGAGUCAAUGGUGCUUGGUUCAGGAAGAGAUGGGGGAGAAGUGAAUACUCUUUAUUUUAUAGUGGCAGACGCUAGGUUUUGUGCCACCUGCAAGUAGAAGGCACAGGAGUAUGGUGAGGUCUGUAAUACUYGUGGUGGGUCUGGAUGAAAGCAGUGGCCCGUUA
rnacentral:lncRNA from 1 species